UAACGAUCUAUGGGUUUGAAGGCAGUGUGAAUGUUAUA
rnacentral:guide_RNA from 1 species